GCAGCAGUGGGGAAUAUUGCACAAUGGGCGCAAGCCUGAUGCAGCGACGCCGCGUGAGGGAUGACGGCCUUCGGGUUGUAAACCUCUGUUAGCAUCGAAGAAGCGAAAGUGACGGUAGGUGCAGAGAAAGCGCCGGCUAACUACGUGCCAGCAGCCGCGGUAAUACGUAGGGCGCGAGCGUUGUCCGGAAUUAUUGGGCGUAAAGAGCUUGUAGGCGGUUGGUCGCGUCUGCUGUGAAAGGCCGGGGCUUAACUCCGGUUUUGCAGUGGGUACGGGCUAACUAGAGUGCAGUAGGGGAGACUGGAAUUCCUGGUGUAGCGGUGGAAUGCACAGAUAUCAGGAGGAACACCGAUGGCGAAGGCAGGUCUCUGGGCUGUAACUGACGCUGAGAAGCGAAAGCAUGGGGAGCGAACAGGAUUAGAUACCCUGGUAGUCCAUGCCGUAAACGUUGGGCACUAGGUGUGGGGGACAUUCCACGUUUUCCGCGCCGUAGCUAACGCAUUAAGUGCCCCGCCUGGGGAGUACGGCCGCAAGGCUAAAACUCAAAUGAAUUGACGG
rnacentral:rRNA from 1 species